rnacentral:misc_RNA from 1 species
UUCUUUUUUUUUUUUUUUUUACUUGGCAUCUCUAUUGAAAUCUAUGCACUGUAAUGCUGCUUUUGUUGACUGAUCAGCUCAUUUUCUGAGCAUGGCUGCAAAUAGUUUUUUGCAGAGACAUCUUUACUCGACAAAGCUUGCAAAUAGUUAUAUGACUGAAAGGCCACCUCGUGGAACAAGUACCCGGAAACCGGAGGUGGACAGAUUCCUUCUUGUAGUACAGCUUGUUUGAGUUGAAAACCACACCUGCAGUAUUAUCCAUUAACAGAAACAUCUGUACAAAACCUUUAAGCAGGUUUCUCCUGAUUUGAAAAUUUUUAUUUUAGAGCAUCUCAUGUUGACAUUGAGUGAUGAAAAGCUCCACUAAGAGCCUGGUGUCUGAAAGCUUUUGCUAUACGGAAUUCUGCUACCACAAGGUUUCUCCUGCUCUUUUUAGUUCUUGUUGGUUAGAUGGAGAGUAAUGAAUUUUCAUAACUUCAACUUGAGAUGCACGUUGGAGGCCAACACUGGAUGCAAAAAUUGAUGAUGUAGCAUUUCCAAGCCGACUUAUCAUACUAUUUGUGAACAAAGAAAAAGCUAAGAGAGGACUCUGGCCUAUGGCCUAA